GGAGAGGUGUCCGAGCGGUUGAAGGUGCCUGACUCGAAAUCAGGUGUGGUCACAAGCCACCGUGGGUUCGAAUCCCACCCCCUCCGCCA
rnacentral:tRNA from 1 species